rnacentral:rRNA from 1 species
GACGAACGCUGGCGGCGUGCUUAACACAUGCAAGUCGAACGGAAAGGCCCUGCUUUUGUGGGGUGCGCGAGUGGCGAACGGGGGAGUAACACGUGAGUAACCUGCCCUUGACUGUGGGAUAACUUCGGGAAACUGGGGCUAAUACCGGAUAGGAGCUCCUGCUGCACGGUGGGGGUGGGAAAGUGUCGGCGGUGUGGGAUGGACUCGCGGCUUAUCAGCUUGUUGGUGGGGUAGUGGCUUACCGAGGCUUUGACGGGUAGCCGGCCUGAGAGGGUGACCGGCCACAUUGGCACUGAGGUGCGGGCCAGACUCCUACGGGGGGCAGCAGUGGGGGAUAUUGCACGAUGGGCGGAGGCCUGAUGCAGCAACGCCGCGUGCGGGAUGACGGCCUUCGGGUUGUAAACCGCUUUCGCCUGUGACGAAGCGUGAGUGACGGUAAUGGGUAAAGAAGCACCGGCUAACUACGUG